rnacentral:rRNA from 1 species
UUGACGCUGGCGGCAGGCUAACACAUGCAAGUCGAGCGGUAGAGAGAAGCUUGCUUCUCUUGAGAGCGGCGGACGGGUGAGUAAUGCCUAGGAAUCUGCCUGGUAGUGGGGGAUAACGUUCGGAAACGGACGCUAAUACCGCAUACGUCCUACGGGAGAAAGCAGGGGACCUUCGGGCCUUGCGCUAUCAGAUGAGCCUAGGUCGGAUUAGCUAGUUGGUGAGGUAAUGGCUCACCAAGGCGACGAUCCGUAACUGGUCUGAGAGGAUGAUCAGUCACACUGGAACUGAGACACGGUCCAGACUCCUACGGGAGGCAGCAGUGGGGAAUAUUGGACAAUGGGCGAAAGCCUGAUCCAGCCAUGCCGCGUGUGUGAAGAAGGUCUUCGGAUUGUAAAGCACUUUAAGUUGGGAGGAAGGGCAGUUACCUAAUACGUGAUUGUUUUGACGUUACCGACAGAAUAAGCACCGGCUAACUCU